UGGGACCUACGGGGGGCAGCAGUGAGGAAUAUUGGUCAAUGGUCGGGAGACUGAACCAGCCAAGCCGCGUGAGGGAUGAAGGUACAGAGUAUCGUAAACCUCUUUUGUCAGGGAACAAAGGCGGGGACGCGUCCCCGGAUGAGUGUACCUGAAGAAGAAGCAUCGGCUAACUCCGCGCCAGCAGCCGCGGUAAUACGGAGGAUGCGAGCGUUAUCCGGAUUUAUUGGGUUUAAAGGGGGCGCAGGCGGUCUGUUAAGUCAGCGGUCAAAGCCCGGGGCUCAACCCCGGCCCGCCG
rnacentral:rRNA from 1 species